rnacentral:rRNA from 1 species
GACGAACGCUGGCGGCGUGCUUAACACAUGCAAGUCGAACGGAAAGGCCCUGCUUUUGUGGGGUGCUCGAGUGGCGAACGGGUGAGUAACACGUGAGUAACCUGCCCUUGACUUUGGGAUAACUUCAGGAAACUGGGGCUAAUACCGGAUAGGAGCUCCUGCACCAUGGUGGGGGUUGGAAAGUUUCGGCGGUUGGGGAUGGACUCGCGGCUUACCAGCUUGUUGGUGGGGUAGUUGCUUACCAAGGCUUUGACGGGUAGCCGGCCUGAGAGGGUGGACGGCCACAUUGGUACUACGGGACGCAGCAGACUGGUACGGGAGGCAAUGGGCGGAAAUCUUACACAGUGAGCGCGAGCCUGAUGCGGAGGCGCCCCGUGCGGAAUGACGGCUUGCGGGUUGUGAACCGCUUUCGCCUGAGACGAAGCGUGAGUGACGGUAAUGAAUAAAGAAGCACCGGCUAACUACGUG